rnacentral:rRNA from 1 species
GACGAACCGUGCGAACGUUAUUCGGAAUCACUGGGCUUAAAGCGCGUGUAGGCGGCCCGGCACGUCCGUCGCUGAAAUCCCCCGGCUCAACCGGGGAAGGGGCGUGGAUACGACCGGGCUGGAGGGGGGUAGGGGGGACGGGAACUUCCGGUGGAGCGGUGAAAUGCGUAGAUAUCGCUUGGAACGCCAACGGUGAAAACAGGUUGCUGGGGGUGUGCUGACGCUGAGACACGAAAGCCAGGGGAGCGAACGGG